rnacentral:tRNA from 1 species
CAGGGAGACAAUACUGAUUUUGAUGUCUGAAUUUUUUAUUUUUAGACCAUAAUCCUGUCACCUUAGGUCGAUCGGUAUCUCAGUUUGAUAAUGGUGAACUAAGAAAUUAGUAGUGCUAACUUAUUAAAUUCAGUUCCUAAACUUUGUCUAGGUCACACCCAACAAAGGGUACUCCUGGGCCAUUAGCUCAGGUGGUUAGAGCGCACCCCUGAUAAGGGUGAGGUCCCUGGUUCAAGUCCAGGAUGGCCCAUUCGGUGUUGGGGGUAUAGCUCAGUUGGUAGAGCGCCUGCUUUGCAAGCAGGAUGUCAGCGGUUCGAGUCCGCUUACCUCCACUGAUCGACCUCCUUACAGCGAAAUCAAAGGAGAUUUUCGUUGUUAGAUGUGAUUUAGACUUAAGUUUUAUCUGAAUGAACCUAGCUUCUUAUCAUUCCUCUCUUAAUAAAAAAUAGAGAUAGGUUGAUAAGACGCUGGGCUCGCUACAUUCGAAAGAAUUGUAGAGAUGUUCGGUAGAACCUUGACAACUGCAUAGGUGAGUCUGGAAAGAAUUAAGCAUCUCAUAGAUGCAUGAUUCUUCUUAGAUCAGUAAUUAAAAAGCUGAGAAAUCAGUUUUUUAAAUAUUGACAAUGGAGAAUUAUGUUUAAUUUUGAGCAAGAGCCGAGCAUCUAGAGUGUUCUUUUGGUGUCACAUAAACAUUAAGAGUCAGAUCAUUGAUUUAAUAAUUAAAUCAAUGAGAAAGCUGUGCUAAUCACACAUCACGCUUUAGAUGAUUAUU